AUCUCAAGUCAAAGGAAACGGUUACAUCACAUUCUUCAAGAAAAUAUCAUAUUGACAAUUAUGGUAAUUCUAACCAUUAGGAAUUAUCCAAUGAGUCGGUUCAAUGAUCAUAUCUCUAUAUGCAUCAUCUAUCUAUGUGAUUUAGUUAACAAUUAGAAUUAUCCAAUGAGUUGGUUCAAUAAUCAUAUCUCUAUAGACAUCAUCUACCUAUGUGAUUUAGUUAAUGAGAUCAACUAAUCUUUAUCCGAUAAAGACGAUCACAUAAAUAUUGAUCUAACUGGAUUAAUAAUGUCCAAAUCAAU
rnacentral:lncRNA from 1 species